GGCGCCGUCGUCUAGGUCGGUUUUAGGACGUUACCCUUUCAAGGUAGGAACACGGGUUCAAAUCCCGUCGGCGCUAC
rnacentral:tRNA from 1 species